AUCAACGGAAAGCUUUUGGCUAGGGUUUGGUUAGGGUUUGGACUUCCCGCUUUCUUGUUCUUUUGAUGGGGUUUAGAACCCUUUUUCUUCUGUUUUUCUUGGAGAUAAUGAGGUUCUUUUUUGAUGGAAGACUGAUAAGCAGCUGAGGGUUUUCAGGAGGCCCAUCAUUUGCUAGUAUGUUUGAGAUCUUAGUCAGAUUUUGCUUCAGUGAUCUUCACAGAUUCGCUGAUCUUGUCGGAGUCAAACCUUAUAAUGCUAUUCUGGUUAGAUAAAAAUCGGUUGAGAAUGUCUGCAGACCGUCCCAUGUCAGCUUUGAUGCAAAACAUAUCUUUGGCCUAUAGCAUUCAGUAAUGUUCUGCAUAACACAUUUGCUAGCGUUAUAUAUUGUUUGGGACACAGUGUGGGUACUCCUCUUUCAACUAUUUCUAGGUGAAUGCUGUCCAUUACAUCUCCUUCACAUGAGAUGGGUGAUUUGCAGAUGUCUCA
rnacentral:miRNA from 1 species